ensembl:lincRNA Gm11707 predicted gene 11707
CUCAUGAAACAAGAUAUAUUCUCGGCUACUGAGCUCAAAUGUUCUGGCUGUCUCUAUCCUGACCCUGCCCACCGACAGGCCUCUCAUCAGAGCUCCUCCUUUGGUGGGAAUGGUCCCAGUGCCGGUCUCACUCACUGUUCGGACCUCUCCUGUGCUCCUGUUCUGAUGGCUCCCGGUGCUGCUGAUCCUUGCUGCUGAUCUUCUCGUCCUCUCCGUGGAUGGUCCUCACGUUCCUGCUUCACUGUGACUACGGAGUAGUGGGGACUCUGGCUUUUCUUAGCCCGAGGAGACUUGCUUCUUCUCCCGAAGUACUUGCUUUUCGUUUUGGCUGGGAACAGGCUCACUCCCAGGGCUUGGCUUGGACCAGCUCAGAGGUGGGCAGGGACAGGGACAGGGACAGGCUAGCGGCUGGUGCACGACCAGUUCGGGGCUCAGAGGCUCCUGCUUCACUACCAUAGUCGCCUGACCUCUUGUGACCCAGAAAAAAGUU